UUCGUAUACACAGCCACCUACACAAACAUCAGCACAGACAAAUCUGAGGUAUUUCUGCACAUUUUCUCCUCUCCAGUUCAUUACAUUCAGGUGGUGUAUUUGAAAGACAUCCAGACCUUUGACACCUCAUGCAGCUGAGGAAACACAUUCCUGGUAUCAUCUGUGAAUUCUACACCUGGCGAGAGCACCAACAGAAGAUAACUCGAUUUUGUGGGCAUAUAAUCUAGCCUGAUGACAGAUGACAUCAUGCAAGAAACAUGACAAACUAAAGAGACUCUCAAUGACAGUAAGAUCUAGAAAAAAUAAUGAUCUAUGAAGAAAGACUGAGAUUUGUGUUUGCAUACUCCAAAGAGAAGGCAACUAAGAUAGGGACAUGAUACCAGCCUUCCAGUCAUCACUGUGAGAGGUAAAGAAUAAACUACACUCCACGCUGCUGUAGAAAUUCAAAGUAGUAAUUCAUUUGAGAAACAAGAGAUUUAGGCUAAAUAUUCAGAAAAAGAAUCCAUUUGCAAUCUUAA